AUCAUGCAAGUCGAGCGGAUCUUCAUUAGCUUGCUUUUGAAGAUCAGCGGCGGACGGGUGAGUAACACGUGGGCAACCUGCCUGUAAGACUGGGAUAACUUCGGGAAACCGGAGCUAAUACCGGAUAAUCCUUUUCCUCUCAUGAGGAAAAGCUGAAAGACGGUUUCGGCUGUCACUUACAGAUGGGCCCGCGGCGCAUUAGCUAGUUGGUGAGGUAACGGCUCACCAAGGCGACGAUGCGUAGCCGACCUGAGAGGGUGAUCGGCCACACUGGGACUGAGACACGGCCCAGACUCCUACGGGAGGCAGCAGUAGGGAAUCUUCCGCAAUGGACGAAAGUCUGACGGAGCAACGCCGCGUGAGCGAUGAAGGCCUUCGGGUCGUAAAGCUCUGUUGUCAGGGAAGAACAAGUAUCGGAGUAACUGCCGGUACCUUGACGGUACCUGACCAGAAAGCCACGGCUAACUACGUGCCAGCAGCCGCGGUAAUACGUAGGUGGCAAGCGUUGUCCGGAAUUAUUGGGCGUAAAGCGCGCGCAGGCGGUUCCUUAAGUCUGAUGUGAAAGCCCCCGGCUCAACCGGGGAGGGUCAUUGGAAACUGGGGAACUUGAGUGCAGAAGAGGAGAGCGGAAUUCCACGUGUAGCGGUGAAAUGCGUAGAGAUGUGGAGGAACACCAGUGGCGAAGGCGGCUCUCUGGUCUGUAACUGACGCUGAGGCGCGAAAGCGUGGGGAGCGAACAGGAUUAGAUACCCUGGUAGUCCACGCCGUAAACGAUGAGUGCUAAGUGUUAGAGGGUUUCCGCCCUUUAGUGCUGCAGCAAACGCAUUAAGCACUCCCGCCUGGGGAGUACGGCCGCAAGGCUGAAACUCAAGGGAAUUGACGGGGGCCCGCCACAAGCCGUGGAGCAUGUGGUUAAUUCGAAGCAACGCGAAGAACCUUACCUAGGUCUGACGUCGUCUGACACUCCUAGAGAAUAGGGUCGUGCCGUCCGGGGGAAGGAUGACAGUUGUUGCAUGAUUGUCGUCAGUUCUGUCUGAGAUGUUGGUUAAGUCCGCCACUAGCACCUGACUUAGAUGCCGAUCAGUCGACGUUAAGGAUACUGGACGUGACAUAUCC
rnacentral:rRNA from 1 species